rnacentral:rRNA from 1 species
UACAGAGGAUGCAAGCGUUAAUCGGAAUUACUGGGCGUAAAGCGUGCGUAGACGGUUAUUUAAGUCAGGUGUGAAAGCCCCGGGCUCAACCUGGGAAUUGCAUUUGAGACUGAAUAGCUAGGGUGCGGAAGAGGGAAGCGGAAUUUCCGGUGUAGCGGUGAAAUGCGUAGAUAUCGUCAAGAACACCGAUAGCGAAGGCAGCUUACUAAGCUGUAACUGACGCUGAGGCACGAAAGUGUGGGGAUCAAACAGG